GUCCACUAAUGAUCUUCAGAACGAGCUGUUUCUUAGGGUUAGCAGGGAGUGGGUCGUCACUGAAGGGGUUGAAGGAGCCUUAAGGAAAAAAGAGGAGCAGAAAAGGAGGACUAUGAAGAAGAGGAUCAAGAACAGUUGAGCUAUCAUGACAUCACCAGUGUUUACUGACAGGUGUCAGAAAAACCCUUUUUGGUAAAGUGUUGGUGAAACCUCAGAUUAUUGACAGUACCUUUGCACAUGGGCGCAGGUUUGAGGACGUAACCACUGCCUCCAUUCACCAUGAACUUGGCUCUGUUGAGCUGCAUCAUCCUGCCCUCUGUCUGGUAGUUCAGGGCAACUGAGGGGGAACAGACGGGAGUGAAGGAGUGACUGAGACAUGUUCACACCACAGAGGUCAGUUAGUCUCCUGGACUCUAAACUGAAGAAGACCUCAGAGGAAGUGAGCAGCAGAUGACUUCCUGUCCCCCUCUUACCCAGCUGACAGCCGACGUUCCAGUAAAACUGAGGGUUGAAAUUCGAGGAGUCGAUGCGAUAGGCCGACGGAUAGAUGCGCGACAACUGCCUCUGGUUAAAAACCAGGAACCGUUCGGUUUUGUGAUGGACCAGAGACUGAGCUCUGGUCUCACUAAAGGACAGAACGUCUCCUGGAGUUCCUGAAGAAGAUGAAGAAGAAGAGCAGAUUUAGAAGAAGUGUGUGAGCUGGAGGACAGGACGCUCUGUUUGACCCUCUCACCUUCGUCCAGACACUCCUGAGACACCACUGAGUUGGUGAACACCACCAGUCACAGGGGAAAUACUGCCAUCUACCUGCUGAUAGGUCUGUCCCAGAAAUGUACCAGGAGCUAGGAUCAGACUGAACCUGGAUUAACAACAUUACCUGUUGACCUGGCCUCCAGACUCUGACCAGGACUUCUCCUGAACCUCCUCCUCCUCCUUAUCCACACUGUGACAUGUCAACCUGGAUUUGGAAUGUCUCUGCAGACACACACACACAGAUAUUUAGAGACUCUUUGAGCAGAGAAUCCAGUUUCUUUCUAAUGUGAGACUCCACCUGGUGGUGGCCAUGUCCCUGAAGGAGGAGGAAAAGAAGAAGAAAGUUAACGAGAAACAAAGGAAAGGCAAAGGAAAACAGGGAGGAUAAGAAAAACAGAAUAGAACAGAAAAGAAGUUUCACUCCUGGUGAUAAAAAACAUUUCUGUUUCCCAGCUUUAUUUAUUUCUCUGUUCUUGUUUCAUAAGGAGAAAAGAAAGAUACUAACGAGUCAUCUUUUAUUUCUACCGCCUGUUAAGUGGUGACUGCUGAGAGAACACACUGCUUUAAUGAGCUCAAUACAGAACCUCUCAUUAGUGGAAACCUGCCAUGGCUGCUUCAAAACGGCAACCAUCAUCCAAAGAGGCAUCUGCAGCCUGACGCCUGCAGCUAAAUGUGGGAGAGAAGGAUGGCAUCCUCACAGAGAAGAAAAUAAUAAUAACGCCUGUGUUUUCCUGUUGGAGACGUGAGGAGGCGAUGGUGCGACACCGCAGAGAAAUGAAAAAAACAACAGGGGAAAAAAACAGGCUUCUCUAAAAAAGCAGAGAAGACGUUCAGGAUAAUCUGCAGCAGAAGAUAUUUGACCUCAGUUAUUCAUGUCUGACGCACCAAGCACCAGUGUUCAACAGUGCUGACAACAAAUGACCAAUGCAACAAGGAGGAACAUCACAACAACAAAGACAACAACAAAAACAACAACAAGCUUAAGGAACCUAAGAUGGUUCUGCUGGAGGGACCGUGAGCUUCAGGACAUUCUGGCUUGGCUUAAGCCUGGUUCUCACUCCCAUCAUUCCCAAAUUGAUGUCAGAGCUGAGGGUGUACGUCAAAGCAGGUUUAGUGGCUAAGCAAGCUAUGUUAAGUUUAAAGCCAGGCUUUCCUGUACUACAAAUUUGGCUCCCCUUUAAACAGGGCUGAAUCAACAUGGUAACUUUUGCUCAGCUCGUAACCUGGUCCCAACGUGAACCUCCUGUGCAGGGGAGGUGACGUCAACAUCUAAAGGUGUUCCUCUGUUAUGAAGAACCCGUGGCUCUUCUCUCAGGUCACUGUCACUCACCAUCUUCUCACAGCUUGAAGUCAUCCUCGAUUUCAUCAGCACUGUCAUCGUCAGACACUUCCCCUUCCUCUGCGUCGGCGGACAGAUAGGAAGGAAGUCGUUUUCCCUGGAAGGAAAGAAGCAUCAGAUGGAGAGAGAAGGAAGGAGUCCCUCUGUGACCAGGUUCUUACUUUGAUGAGGAUCUUCCCCUGCAGGGCUUGAGGACUGGGUAAAGUCCUGGCGUCUCUGCUCAGGAUCUCUCCUACGUCUAGUUUGUCAGCGAAGAUUUCUUUGAGGUACUGAGCGAUUUUCUUCUGCUGCUGGAUGCUGCAGUGGUUCUCAAUGGACAGAAUCACCGGGAACCUGCAGAGAGGAUGGUGAAAGUACCAGAAACAAGGAACUUGGGCAGCGGGAACUCAACAUCAAGAAAACUGAACAGGAUCCAGGACUUGGACUGGAGGAUGAACUGAAAGUACUCGGCCCCAAAACAGCUCCUGACUUAAAGCUCACCCUCGACACAUCGGCAGCCAGACUGCAGCACCCAGGCGUACAUGUCGGUCUUGGAGUGCGACAACAGCUGGUCUCCAGUCAGAGCAGCUGAUGAAGGCUGACGAAGGGAAUACGUGACAAGACUCUGUGACUGUCUUCAGACUGAAACCACGGACAGAGUCUGGUGGAACGUGAGGCAGACCAGAACUGGGGAUCUGGAUCAGACUGGAGGACGAUCAGGAGCAGAAGAUAAUGUUCCUGCAGCAGAGUCAACAUCAGCCUCAUUUAUCUGCAGUUAAAUCCUUAUGUAAAUGCUAAUGAUGCUGCCUCAGGGGAGAGUGGAAAAGAUGGAAAACAUAGUGUGAAGAACUGAUUCUCCCUGGACCACAUCAAAGGUUUGGAUUUAAAAAAAAUUAAUCAUUAACAAAACCAGAACAGAUGAAAAUGUGAAAGACAGCUAAAUGUUAGCCAUGCUAAAAAUAAGAAGGAAAUGGACGUACUGGAGUUGAAGCAAAGGGAGAGAAAGGAGAGAGUGAGGGAGAGGAGAUAAGGAUGGUGGAUGAAGAGGAGAGAAAGAGGAGAUCAAUCAGUGAGGAGAGAGGGAGGAAAGAAGGGAGAAAAGAACACAAGGGUGUAAAAAAUAUUCAAUUCAUGUCAAGGAGUAGGAAAAAGGAGGGGAGUGUGGAAGGAAAGGAUAUACUGUAGGACAAGGACUAAUAUAAAUGUAAUCUGAAAAAAAAAUACAAAACUUAAAACGGGGUAGAAGAAAGAUAAGAGGAGAAGGAAGAAAAAGAGGAAAUAAGGAAACACUAUGAAUUAUAAAAAAGAAAAGUUGGGGAAUGAAAAGGGAAUGAAAAAAGAGAGAGGGAGACCAGGAGGGAAGGAUGAGAGGAAGAGACAGAAAUGUGUAUGAAGUAAUACACCAGGCGGAGGAAGUGUUCAGACUCAGAACUGGGAGGAGAAACAGAGAAGGACAGAGGAAAGAAGAUAAAGGAGACAUCUCCUGAGGUGAAGGAGGUGAGGAUGUUUUCAGAGAAAUAAACGGAGGUUCUGCAUCAUCAUCAUCAUCAGUCUGGAGCAGACACAGGAGCUGCUCUGAAAACUCUAUUUAAACCACUGACACCUGAUCCCUAAUAUCAUCAAGUAUCACCAUGCAGUACCACGACACAUUUAUCUGGUCCACAAUCUCUCAGGAAAUAUCCAUUCAUCAGAGGCACCACCAGCUGCACCUCCUGCAGGAGGACAUCUUGCCGUCUUCAGAAGCAGCCCAGAGACGUGAUCUCUGCACCGUGACCUGAUUCUGCCUCCACACCUCCUCACAGAUGGUUCUGUCUGAGGCACCUCCCCAGGGAGGUGUCCAGGAGGUGACCUGAGCAGAUGUUCCAGCCACCUCUGGUGGAAGGUCUUGGACAUCACAGGACCUCAGUCCUCAUCUCAGCUGCUCACAAUUGACUUGGUUCCUGAGGUGUUCCUGAGGGACAUUCCCUGAGACAACAGCGAUGUCUCAGCUUCCUCUGUCCUGUCCUCAGGUCAAACGUUAUAUCUCUUCAGUCUUGUUGACAUGUCAUUGACUAGAGUGGACUAAAACCUGAUCAACUCAGUGACUACUUCAUUCAGAACCAGCUGUUGAUCACAGACCAGAGGUUGAACACAGUUUCUUUCCAGACCUGUGGCGCUGUAACUUUCUUUUGGAACAAAUCUUUGAGUCUGACUCAUCUCAGUCCCUCAAACGGCCAGCUAUGUUUCCAGGAUGUGACCUUUGACCUUCUUAGGACACAGAGAUCAGCCCGUGUCAGCAUUGGCUUACAGAGGUGCACGAUGGGAGCUAAGGCCACAUGGGCUCUGCAGGUGGAACCACUUCGUCUUCACAGAUCAAAUCUCUAACUGUGACCAGAACCUGAGAUUCCCACAAACAUUCCCAUGACGUGAAGGUUUCCUUUCCUUUACAAAUAAAUAGGAUUAAAGACUUUUGUAGAAAGUUCCAGAGCAGAACUGUGGGCUACAGCCAACAGCUUCCCUGCUGUACAGAAGAAAGCAGCUCUACAUCAGUCUCUCACAGUCUUUUCAAAUCAACUGCUGCUGGGGAGACAGGAGGGACCAGGAAGAACUGGACUGGAGUCCAGAUUCAGGAGUGGACUCUGCUGAUCUCUUAAGACUGAUCCAGGUCCUGUCUUUAAAAGCAUUAAGUUGAUCACAAACGUUAGAUGAACUAAAGUGUCAGAACUAAAAAAUGAUAAUUUAACCAGAAUUACAAACACAUAAUUGCACAAUAUUAAAAUAUUUUAAUGUUGGAUGUAUAAUGUUUUUUAAAUGCUCCAAAUGUCAACAUGAACUUAUUCAUUAAAACAACACUUUUACAUUUACAUAAGAAGAGAGUUAUAAAGAAAAUAUCCACAAAAACUAUUCAGUGUUCACAUGAAAUGGAGAAAAAAAAGCUUGACACCAAAAAAAGAAA